CGGUAACAGCUCAAAUUUGAAAUCUGGCUCUUUCAGGGUCCGAGUUGUAAUUUGUAGACGAUGCUUUGGGUGUGGUGCCGGUCUAAGUUCCUUGGAACAGGACAUCACAGAGGGUGAGAAUCCCGUAUGUGGCUGAUGGCUUUAACCAUGUAAAGUUCUUUC
rnacentral:rRNA from 1 species